GUCUGUAUAGAUUAUUUAAUCAUGAUGCUGUUAACUUCAAGAAGAAUAUCAUUCUACAGUCG
rnacentral:tRNA from 1 species